rnacentral:rRNA from 1 species
UGAGGAAUAUUGGACAAUGGGCGAAAGCCUGAUCCAGCAAUACCGCGUGAGUGAAGAAGGCCUUAGGGUUGUAAAGCUCUUUCAGUAGGGAAAAUAAUGAUGGUACCUACAAAAGAAGUUCCGGCUAACUCCGUGCCAGCAGCCGCGGUAAUACGGAGGGAACUAGCGUUGUUCGGAUUUACUGGGCGUAAAGAGCGCGUAGGCGGAUUAUUAAGUUGGAAGUGAAAGCCCAGGGCUUAACCCUGGAACUGCUUCCAAAACUGGUAAUCUAGAGUAUGGGAGGGGACAGUGGAAUUCCUAGUGUAGAGGUGAAAUUCUUAGAUAUUAGGAGGAACACCGGUGGCGAAAGCGACUGUCUGGAACAUUACUGACGCUGAGGUGCGAAAGCGUGGGGAGCAAA